UGGGAUCUGGUUGCGGUUCUAGUUCUUAUACUCAUUCAU
rnacentral:sRNA from 1 species